rnacentral:rRNA from 1 species
ACUGCUCAGUAACACGUGGAUAACCUGCCCUUGGGUCCGGCAUAACCCCGGGAAACUGGGGAUAAUUCCGGAUAACGCACAUAUGCUGGAAUGCUUUAUGCGUAAAAUGGAUUCGUCUGCCCAAGGAUGGGUCUGCGGCCUAUCAGGUAGUAGUGGGUGUAAUGUACCUACUAGCCAACAACGGGUACGGGUUGUGAGAGCAAGAGCCCGGAGAUGGAUUCUGAGACAUGAAUCCAGGCCCUACGGGGCGCAGCAGGCGCGAAAACUUUACAAUGCGGGAAACCGUGUUAAGGGGACACCGAGUGCCAGCAUCAUAUGCUGGCUGUCCGGGUGUGUAAAAUACACCCGUUAGCAAGGGCCGGGCAAGACCGGUGCCAGCCGCCGCGGUAACACCGGCGGCCCGAGUGGUGAUCGUGAUUAUUGGGUCUAAAGGGUCCGUAGCCGGUUUGGUCAGUCCUCCGGGAAAUCUGACGGCUCAACCGUUAGGCUUUCGGGGGAUACUGCCAGGCUUGGAACCGGGAGAGGUAAGAGGUACUACAGGGGUAGGAGUGAAAUCUUGUAAUCCCUGUGAGACCACCUGUGGCGAAGGCGUCUUACCAGAACGGGUUCGACGGUGAGGGACGAAAGCUGGGGGCACGAACCGGAUUAGAUACCCGGGUAGUCCCAGCCGUAAACGAUGCUCGCUAGGUGUCAGGCAUGGCGCGACCGUGUCUGGUGCCGCAGGGAAGCCGUGAAGCGAGCCACCUGGGAAGUACGGCCGCAAGGCUGAAACUUAAAGGAAUUGGCGGGGGAGCAC